rnacentral:lncRNA from 1 species
GUAAUUUCAGAGAACCAUUUUCUGUCUGUCUUUCUGUCUUGCCUUUGGGUCGACCCUCUCAGAGUUUGGGUCGACUCAAGCUUGGGUCGACUCAACCACUGUUUGGGUCGACCCUCUCAGUAAAUCCAGAGAACAUAUUUCCUUCAUGGUUUGAGGUUCUUGAAGUUUGGGUCGACUCAUGCUUACCUUGGGUCGACCCAACCAACU